rnacentral:rRNA from 1 species
CCUGUCAUGCUUGCGACUUCCUCUGCCUCCCGGAGCCUCGCGAAUUGGAA